rnacentral:rRNA from 1 species
UAGGGAAUCUUCCACAAUGGACGCAAGUCUGAUGGAGCAACGCCGCGUGAGUGAAGAAGGUUUUCGGAUCGUAAAGCUCUGUUGUUGGUGAAGAAGGAUAGAGGCAGUAACUGGUCUUUAUUUGACGGUAAUCAACCAGAAAGUCACGGCUAACUACGUGCCAGCAGCCGCGGUAAUACGUAGGUGGCAAGCGUUGUCCGGAUUUAUUGGGCGUAAAGCGAGCGCAGGCGGAAUGAUAAGUCUGAUGUGAAAGCCCACGGCUCAACCGUGGAACUGCAUCGGAAACUGUAAUUAUUGAGUGCAGAAGAGGAGAGUGGAAUUCCAUGUGUAGCGGUGGAAUGCGUAGAUAUAUGGAAGAACACCAGUGGCGAAGGCGGCUCUCUGGUCUGCAACUGACGCUGAGGCUCGAAAGCAUGGGUAGCGAACAGG